rnacentral:rRNA from 1 species
GACGAACGCUGGCGGCGUGCUUAACACAUGCAAGUCGAACGGAAAGGCCUGCUUUCCCUUGUGGAUUGCGGGUACUCGAGUGGCGAACGGGUGAGCAACACGUGAGUGAUCUGCCCCCAACUUGGGUAUAAGCCUGGGAAACUGGGUCUAAUUCCCGAUAGGACUGCAGGGUGGUGUCUGUGGUGGAAAACGAUUUUCUAGUGGUUGGGGAUGAGCUCGCGGCCUAUCAGCUUGUUGGUGGGGUAAUGGCCUACCAAGGCGGCGACGGGUAGCCGGCCUGAGAGGGUGGACGGCCACAUUGGGACUGAGAUACGGCCCAGACUCCUACGGGAGGCAGCAGUGGGGAAUAUUGCACAAUGGGCGGAAGCCUGAUGCAGCGACGCCGCGUGGGGGAUGACGGCCUUCGGGUUGUAAACUCCUUUCGACCGCGAGGAAGCCACCUGGUUGGAAGGGUGGUGACGGUAGUGGUAGAAGAAGCACCGGCUAACUACGUG